rnacentral:rRNA from 1 species
UUAAAUUGAAGAGUUUGAUCAUGGCUCAGAUUGAACGCUGGCGGCAGGCCUAACACAUGCAAGUCGAGCGGUAGCACAGAGAGCUUGCUCUCGGGUGACGAGCGGCGGACGGGUGAGUAAUGUCUGGGAAACUGCCUGAUGGAGGGGGAUAACUACUGGAAACGGUAGCUAAUACCGCAUAACGUCGCAAGACCAAAGUGGGGGACCUUCGGGCCUCAUGCCAUCAGAUGUGCCAGAUGGGAUUAGCUAGUAGGUGGGGUAACGGCUCACCUAGGCGACGAUCCCUAGCUGGUCUGAGAGGAUGACCAGCCACACUGGAACUGAGACACGGUCCAGACUCCUACGGGAGGCAGCAGUGGGGAAUAUUGCACAAUGGGCGCAAGCCUGAUGCAGCCAUGCCGCGUGUGUGAAGAAGGCCUUCGGGUUGUAAAGCACUUUCAGCGGGGAGGAAGGCGGUGAGGUUAAUAACCUCAUCGAUUGACGUUACCCGCAGAAGAAGCACCGGCUAACUCCGUGCCAGCAGCCGCGGUAAUACGGAGGGUGCAAGCGUUAAUCGGAAUUACUGGGCGUAAAGCGCACGCAGGCGGUCUGUCAAGUCGGAUGUGAAAUCCCCGGGCUCAACCUGGGAACUGCAUUCGAAACUGGCAGGCUAGAGUCUUGUAGAGGGGGGUAGAAUUCCAGGUGUAGCGGUGAAAUGCGUAGAGAUCUGGAGGAAUACCGGUGGCGAAGGCGGCCCCCUGGACAAAGACUGACGCUCAGGUGCGAAAGCGUGGGGAGCAAACAGGAUUAGAUACCCUGGUAGUCCACGCCGUAAACGAUGUCGAUUUGGAGGUUGUGCCCUUGAGGCGUGGCUUCCGGAGCUAACGCGUUAAAUCGACCGCCU